ACAAUGGGGGCAACCUGAUCCCAGCCAUUCCGCGUGAGUSAAGAAGGCCUUCGGGUUGUAAAGCUCUUUCGGCAGGAACGAAACGGUGGGCUCUAACAUAGUCCGCUAAUGACGGUACCUGAAGAAGAAGCACCGGCUAACUACGUGCCAGCAGCCGCGGUAAUACGUAGGGUGCGAGCSUUAAUCGGAAUUACUGGGCGUAAAGCGUGCGCAGGCGGUUGUGUAAGACAGGUGUGAAAUCCCCGGGCUUAACCUGGGAACUGCGCUUGUGACUGCACGGCUAGAGUAUGGCAGAGGGGGGUGGAAUUCCACGUGUAGCAGUGAAAUGCGUAGAGAUGUGGAGGAACACCGAUGGCGAAGGCAGCCCCCCUGGGCCAAUACUGACGCUCAUGCACGAAAGCGUGGGGAGCAAACAGGAUUAGAUACCCUGGUAGUCCACGCCCCUAAACGAUGUCGACUAGGUGUUCGGUGAGGAGACUCAUUGAGUACCGCAGCUAACGCGUGAAGUCGACCGCCUGGGGAGUACGGUCGCAAGAUUAAAACUCAAAGGAAUUGACGGGGACCGCACAAGCGUGGAUGAUGUGGAUUAA
rnacentral:rRNA from 1 species